GAUUCUGGCUACAGAACGAACGCUGGCGGCGCGUCUUAAGCAUGCAAGUCGAACGGCAAGAGGUAGCAAUACCUCCUAGAGUGGCGGACUGGUGAGUAACACGUGGGUGACAUACCCUUCAGAUGGGGAUAGCUAUUAGAAAUAGUAGAUAAUACCGAAUACGAGCACAGGGGUUAGAGAUCUGUGAGGAAAGGAGCUAAGGCUCCGCUGAAGGAAUGGCCUGCGGCCCAUUAGCUAGUUGGUGAGGUAAGAGCCCACCAAGGCGAUGAUGGGUAUCCGGCCUUAGAGGGUGAACGGACACAUUGGGACUGAGAUACGGCCCAGACUCCUACGGGAGGCAGCAGCUAAGAAUAUUCCGCAAUGGACGAAAGUCUGACGGAGCGACGCCGCGUGGAUGAAGAAGGCCGGAAGGUUGUAAAAUCCUUUUGAAACUGAAGAAUAAGCGUUGUAGGGAAUGACAGCGUGGUGACAGUAGGUUUUGAAUAAGCAACGGCUAAUUACGUGCCAGCAGCCGC
rnacentral:rRNA from 1 species